GCCCAAGUAGGCACUGGUGCCAGCUUGGUCCUGGGAGGCAUCCUGCGAUAUGCGGAAUUUUAAGAGCCAGAAGGCUGCUCUGAGCCACCGGCCCUGCAACACCAACGCUGCCCCUUUUCCCAGGUAAGCAAAACUCACCAACCCUAGUUGAUGGUGUCAGUUUUCAGGAGGUACUUGGCACUCUCAAACCAGCCCAAGUUGGCACUGGUGCCAGCUUGGUCCUGGGAGGCAUCCUGCGAUAUGCGGAAUUUUAAAAGCCAGAAGGCUGCUCUGAGCCACCGGCCCUGCAACACCAACUCUGCCCCUUUUCCCAGUUUUCAGGAGGUACUUGGCACUCUCAAACCAGCCCAAGUUGGCACUGGUGCCAGCUUGGUCCUGGGAGGCAUCCUGCGAUAUGCGGAAUUUUAGGAGCCAGAAGGCUGCUCUGAGCCACCGGCCCUGCAACACCAACGCUGCCCCUUUUCCCAGGAGGUACUUGGCACUCUCAAACCAGCCCAAGUUGGCACUGGUGCCAGCUUGGUCCUGGGAGGCAUCCUGCGAUAUGCGGAAUUUUAAAAGCCAGAAGGCUGCUCUGAGCCACCGGCCCUGCAACACCAACGCUGCCCCUUUUCCCAGUUUGCAGGAGGUACUUGGCACUCUCAAACCAGCCCAAGUUGGCACUGGUGCCAGCUUGGUCCUGGGAGGCAUCCUGCGAUAUGCGGAAUUUUAGGAGCCAGAAGGCUGCUCUGAGCCACCGGCCCUAGAACACA